UUGAAAGUCAGAAUUACACAGAGGAGAAGCAGCGGAGGGUGGGGGGCGUCCAUUCGCUGGUUCACUCACCAGUUAGCCACAAUAGCUGGAGCUAUGCUGAUUCGAAGGCAGGAUCCAGGAGUUUCCUCCAGGUUUCCCACAUGGGUGCAGAGGCCCAAGGACUUGGGCCAUCUUCUACUGCUUUCCCAGGCCAUAGCAGAGAGCUGGAUCAGAAGUGGAGCAGCCAGGACUCGAACCAGCUCCCAUAUGGGAUGCUGGCACUGCAGGAGGCAGCUUCACCCUCUACACCACAGCUCCAGCCCGCAUAAUUGAUUUCUAAAUGUUUUCCUUUGUGGCUUGAAAAUAUACAUGAUGUCAAUUUAUUUUUUUUGUUUACUGAGUCUUGAUUUGUGGCCUCAUCUGGGGUCUAUCCUAGAAAAUGUUCCAUGUGCUGAUGAGUAGAAUGUGUACUCUAUAAUUGUUGGGGAAAUGUUGUUUAAAGUCUCCUAGGUCAAUUUGCUCUAUGAUAUGGUACAACUCUGAUGUUUCUUUGAUGCCUGUCAGUGGUUGAAGUCUCCUGGUAUUACUGUGGUGGAGUCUAUCUCUCCCUUUAGCCCUAAUAAUAUUUACUGUAUUUGUAUGGUCUUGUGUGCCUGUAUUUUCAUAUAUGUUAUAUUAUCUUGAUGAAUUGAUCCUUUUAUGAAUAUAUGAUAUCCUUGUCUCUUUUUGCAGCUCUUAAUUUAAAGUCUAUUUUAUCUGAUACCAAUAUGGUUCCUGCAGCUUGUUGCUGGUUUCCAUUUACAUGAUAUAUCUUUUUCCAACCCUUCAUUUUUGCUCUUUUUUUUUUAAAAAAAAAAAAGAGGUACAGAGAGGCAGAGGCAGAGAGAGAAGUCUUCCACCUGCUGAUUUACUCCCCAGUUGUCUGUAAUGGCCUGAGCUGAGCCAAUCUGAAGCCAGGAUCCAGGAGCUUCUUCUGGGUCUCCCACGCUGGUGCAGGGGCCCAAAGACUUGGGCCAUCUUCUACUGCUUUCCCAGGCCAUAGCAGAGAGCUGGAUUGGAUGUGGAGCUGCCGGGUCUUGAACUGGCACCCUUAUGGGAUACCGGCCUGCAGGUUGUCGCUUUACCCACUGUGCCAAAAUGCUGGCCCCUCCAAUCCUUACAUUUUUAGCUUAUAUGUAUAUUUAUCUGUGAAUUGAGUGUAGACAGCAUGAAGUUGGAUCAUGUACAUUUAUCCAUUCAGGAGGAUAAACAAUUUAUCCAUUCAGGAAGUAGACAUCUGUGUAAGUUAUGAUGGUACCAAUUCUUUCCUCCUAGGAUGUUGAAGCUUCCCAGAUGCAAGGAUACAGCUACACAGGAGUUGGAGCAUUCUGUACCCAAGAAUACACCUACACAGGUAGCCACUGGGCUUCAUCCUCACUGUUAUAGUCGGGAACGCUCUGUAAGACCCAAUCUUGAGAGACACAAACACAGACAGAAGCUGGAAUCAGGUUGGCUCUCCAGAAGAGAACCGGCAGGAAGGUCCCAGUGUCUCCUCCCUUCAGUUGUUCCUCAGCACCGGAGGCAUUCUAGAAUACGUACAGUGUCCACUGGAUCCUGAGUCCACCUGCAGUCAGAGAAAGGAAGUCACUGUGAGAGUACCUUCAACUGAUUCCUUUGUUGUGGGCAUCCUGUUCUUUGGCAAGACAUGGAUUUUUCCGGCCUUCUGUGUGGAAUGGACAGUCGAUGUUCUUGACCUCCAACUUCCUUUUCGUCUAAAACUCUUUAGACAAGAACCUGGAACAGUAUGACAAUACAGACAGCUGUUGACAUCCAGCUGGCAGGAGACCACAGAGAAGUGAAAUAUUUUGAAACAACAAACUUAACAGAAGCAUCAAAAGUAGAAACUGAAUAAUACGGAUGACCAACUAUCUUUAUAAAUCUGUAGACAGCCUGGAAUGGGGAAAUGACAGUCCAUGAAGAGAGUGAUUAAGCAGAAGGUAAGUGGCCGGUGGAGAAGCAGCAUUGUGGAGGUCAGUGUGGCCUACCUGCUGGA